rnacentral:tRNA from 1 species
GGCUCUAUAGCUCAGUGGUUAGAGCUCUGCUCUUAUAAACCAGGGGAGGUAAGUUUGAUCCUCACUAGAGCAU